rnacentral:rRNA from 1 species
UACGUAGGGUGCAAGCGUUAUCCGGAAUUAUUGGGCGUAAAGAGCUCGUAGGCGGUUUGUCGCGUCGGCUGUGAAAACCUGGGGCUCAACCCCGGGCCUGCAGCCGAUACGGGCAAACUAGAAUUCGGUAGGGGAGACUGGAAUUCCUGGUGUAGCGGUGAAAUGCGCAGAUAUCAGGAGGAACACCGGUGGCGAAGGCGGGUCUCUGGGCCGAUAUUGACGCUGAGGAGCGAAAGCGUGGGGAGCGAACAGG